rnacentral:rRNA from 1 species
CAGUCGCCGCGGUAAUACGAAGGUCCCAAGCGUUGUUCGGAAUCACUGGGCGUAAAGGGAGCGUAGGCGGCGUGGUUAGUCAGAUGUGAAAUCCCGGGGCUCAACCCCGGAACUGCAUCCGAUACUGCCAUGCUUGAGGGUUGGAGAGGUAGCUGGAAUUCUUGGUGUAGCAGUGAAAUGCGUGGAUAUCAAGAGGAACACUCGUGGCGAAGGCGAGCUACUGGACAACAUCUGACGCUGAGGCUCGAAGGCCAGGGUAGCGAAAGGGAUUAGAGACCCCAGUAGUCCCUGUCUCUUAUAC